rnacentral:rRNA from 1 species
AACGUAGGUGGCAAGCGUUAUCCGGAAUUACUGGGCGUAAAGGGUGUGCAGGCGGGGCCACAAGUGGUGUAUGAAAUCUCCCAGCUUAACUGGGAGGGGUUAUGCCAGACUGUGGUUCUAGAGGACGAGAGAGGGGGGUGGAAUUCCGGGUGUAGUGGUGAAAUGCGUAGAGAUCCGGAGGAACCCCAGAGGCGAAGGCGGCCCCCUGGCUCGUACCUGACGCUCAGCCACGAAAGCAUGGGGAG